CAGCAAUCCGCUGCGAACAUGUUGUCAUUCCGAGUUUUACCUGAUUAAUUAGAUAAGCACUGACUGACCAAGCGGAAGAUUUUGAUCAAAUCAGAAACAAUUUCCAUUGCAAAUUCCUUUUCCUUAAUGGCUUAAGACGGGACAUCGGAGGUAGAGAGACCGCCAACCGCCUCUCUUUCCAUUGGCUUUCCGUCUAUUGUCUGGCCAAUUCUCCGAUCAGAUGGAUAGUGAAACUGGUAAUCAACACAAGCAAGAACGAUCAAGAACAAGAUGGACAGCAUCCCUUGAUAAGAUAUUUGCAGACUUGGUGGUGAAACAUAUUCAACUUGGAAAUAGACCAAACAAUGUUUUUGAUAAGAAAACUUGGAAUCACAUACGUGAUGAGUUCAAUAAGCAGACAGAUCUAAAUUUCAAUAAUAAUCAAUUGAGAAAACACCUAGACGUACUGCGGACCCGCUUCUAUAAUUUAAAGUCGGCUAUUGUUCAAAAUGACUUUGCAAUGGAGGAUUCUUGCUGCAUUGGAUUUGAUCUGUGUGAUGACGUUGGGUCACAAUCAAGGCCUGAGGCAAUUAAAGUCAAGGACUGUCCCAUAUAUGAGCAGUUAUGCACAAUAUUCACAGAUACAUCAGCUGAUGGAAAGUAUGCCCAAUCAAGUCACUUUGAAGGGUUGGGAAAAUCUUUUAGAAAUGAUGUUACGGGCUUAAGUUCAAAUCCAGUUGGUGGAUCCUCUCAUCCUGAAAAUCCAUCUUCAUCAAGACCAGUGCAAGGAAACUGUUCAACAGCAGAUAAGAUAGUUAAGAAUAUAUCAGAGAAAAAGAGGAAACGGCCUUCUGAGACACAGCCCUCUUCUGGUCAGAAUAAGAAGGAUCAAGAAAUAAAUGAAGCUAUGGCAGAAGCCUUGUUGGAGAUGGUGGCUGCUUCAAGGUGGAGAAAGGCUGCAGCUGCACCAUUGCAAAACCAUAAAAAAUUUACCAUAACUAAUUGUAUUAAAGUUCUGGAUGAGAUAGGAGACAUUGAUCAACAGCUGUACUUUGCAGCUUUGGACCUGUUUGAGGAGCCUAACUUGAGAGAGACAUUUAUCUCUUUGAAAGGUAAUCAGAUACGGCUGACUUGGUUGCAGGGGAAGUGCGGUAAAUCCACCAUUUUCUUGUAGGUUAAGGGAGAGGUUGUGGCCUUUUUAAUCCCUAGAGGUGUAAACAUCAUAUUUAGUUACUCCUAUCUUAUUUUUGGCAAACAAGGUCUUUUAAGUCGGGGGUUUAACCAAUACCAGAAACUAGGUCUAUACAAGCGUGUAAAUUGUGAUUACUUGACGAAUAGGCAAUCAAAGUUGUUUAUUGUUGAAGUGAUUUCAGGCCUGAUAACAUCAAGAUAAGACACUGCAUGCUGUGUGGCUCUUUUCGAGGCAGUUAUACCAUUUAGGUGAUACUUUGAAAUGUUCUGAACACGAACCGACAUAUGCAUCGCUAUUAAGAAUCUUAAGUGUAGCAAGGUCCUCAGGCUAAGGGCAGUGCCAGGGGAAGCCCUUCUUCCUAUGUAAGACACAGUUAUGUUUUCUGGUCGUGAUCUGAAUGAAUUCAUGAUGCAGCGCCAAAAUGAUCAAGAUACGUCCUGCUAAUUGUCAUAGACAACAAAUUAGUUGGGCAGAGAAUAGUUGGAUUGCCUUGAUGGUCGAAUGUAUUUCCCAAAUGCAAUUCAUCUGAAAGCAAUUAAAUUAAAUACUAUUUUCUUUCUUUCCUUAUUUUUCUUUUCUUCUUCUGUACAAUGAAUCAUGAUCAUUCUCUCAUGCAUUUGAACCCUAAAGUCUUUUCAAGUCAUUAUAGGAAAGGCAUUACAAUCAAAGACAGGCCAACAUUCUCUCAAAGAUUUCUUAAUUAAAAUAUUAAAGCCUAAGCCGCCUUUGAAAGGGUAAAGAUAUUGAUUGAAUAUAUUACAAACCCACGAAAAAAUCUGAUCCCCUAUCAACCCUAGUGUCACUAACAUGAAAAAACUGAGGAAAACCAUAUAAAUAGCGCAACUCUUAAGGUGCAGUGGCUUCAAUUGAUAAACACACCGAUAUACGGUGUACCCUGAUGCAAAAUUUAGGGUAAAGAUGUAUAUUUCUUUUAAGUGUACAUAGGAUGCUGCAUGAAUGUUGAGUCAGAAAUGGAAUUCGCUUGGCACCUCAUGCAGAAGAAAUAUGUUGCUACUCUUCCUGCACGCUGCACCAACUUCUCAACAGAACUGGCCUGUAGAAAUGCAUAUGAAGCCUAGAGUCCUAUCUCUCCCAAACAGCUGUAAAAGCACAACACGUAUUAAACAUUAAGUUCCAUAGAUCACUGGGAAAUUUUUCUUCGUGGGCGAAAAAGAAAAUCGGACAGAAACCUUAACCUGCAAAUUACAUAUAUUUGUUUCUCCAAGGAAAAUUAUCAUGCACUUUCAUCGUCUUUUUGGUCUUGCCUCGCACUUUCAAGUUUGUAAACGUCCAGCAUUUCUUCUUCUAGGGGAUGUGUGUUGCCCACAAUUACAAGACAAUGCAAGGGUGCUCCAAAAUCAACUGCCAGCAGUUGCUUCAUUGUCCCAGCAACUAUCAUCUGAUCCUCACUUCCCAACCGAGCAAAGCCAACACAGCUAGUGUCUUCAUUGUAUGCAGAUUCCCCACGUUUUUGCUCAAUCUCCAAGAGUUGAUCAAUUGCAUUGUUUAUAGUCAUGUAUCUAGGGGGUUCAUACUUCUUCCUUCCUCUGGACAAGGAUUCCCAUGAAGGUUCCUUUACUCGUAUAUCCAGUAAACAAAGUGUAUGCAAUCCAAGUUCACGAUUUCUUCUUAUCUUUUCAUAAAAGCUAUCAGGUCUCCAAUUAUCAGUAAAAAAAGGGAUUGAAACAGUCUCUCCAUAGCGAUAUAAUUGUAAUCCACAAAUCCCAACCGCAUUCAUCACAGACGCAUUGUGUACCACUUUGACAUCAACCCCCAAUUCCUUAGCUCGAACAACAAGAUCUGUAUGUGUUGUAGCUCCAAAAGGAUCUCCAACAACAAGGAAAGCAACAUCAGAAGUACGAGCUGAUGACAAUAUAUCAUCAGCCUUCUCUUCUACCAUCUCUCUAUCAGCAAUGGCAAUUGGUUUCCCAUACAAAUUUUCCAGAGUGGAAAGUCCAUCAAUGGAGAGACCAAAGGAGAGAAGAGAAGUGUAGGCUUCCAUGUACACCUUCUCACAUUUCUGCACAGCUUCUAGACCUCUUAAAGUAAUAUCCUUCUCAUCUCCCAAUCCUAGACCUAUUAUGUACAACAUCUUCUCUUGCUUAUCUGCUAAACCCUAGAUAUUAUGCAAGAACGUUGGAAACAGCUCUUUUGUAUCUUCAAUUCAGUCAAAGAAGCACUCUUGCUGCCCAAUCGCUCCAAGCCUCCUAAAAGAGCUGAAACACUAGUGCUGCCUGCAACUGCUAUUUUGUUUCUUUCCCCACGGUAGCAUGUAGUUAACAACAACGCCACCGUUUCUGUCUUU
rnacentral:misc_RNA from 1 species